GUGUUGGUGGUAUAGCGGUAUAGCUGCCUUCCAAGCAGUUGACCCAAGUUCAAUUCCCGGCCAACACA
rnacentral:tRNA from 1 species